rnacentral:rRNA from 1 species
AUUGAACGCUGGCGGCAGGCCUAACACAUGCAAGUCGAACGAGUGGCGGACGGGUGAGUAAUGUCUGGGAAACUGCCUGAUGGCGGGGGAUAACUACUGGAAACGGUAGCUAAUACCGCAUACCAUCAGAUGUGCCCAGCUGGGAUUAGCUAGUUGGGGGGGUAACGGCUCACCAAGGCGACGAUCCCUAGCUGGUCUGAGAGGAUGACCAGCCAAGUGGGAGUUGAGACAAGGUCCAGACUCCUACGGGAUGCAUGAGUGGGGAAUAGUGCACAAUGGGCGCAAGCCUGCUGCAGCCAUGCCGCGUGUAUGAAGAAGGCCUUCGGGUUGUAAAGUACUUUCAGCGGGGAGGCGUUACCCGCAGAAGAAGCACCGGCUAACUCCGUGCCAGCAGCCGCGGUAAUAC